rnacentral:rRNA from 1 species
CCUACGGGUGGCAGCAGUCGAGAAUCAUUCACAAUGGGGGAAACCCUGAUGGUGCGACGCCGCGUGGGGGAAUGAAGGCCUUCGGAUUGUAAACUCCUGUCAUGUGGGAGCAAAUUAAAAAGAUAGUACCACAAGAGGAAGAGACGGCUAACUCUGUGCCAGCAGCCGCGGUAAUACAGAGGUCUCAAGCGUUGUUCGGAAUCACUGGGCGGAAAGCGUGCGUAGGCUGUUUCGUAAGUCGUGUGUGAAAGGCGCGGGCUAAACCCGCGAAGGGCACAUGAUACUGGGAGACUAGAGUUAUGGAGAGGUGAGAGGAAUUGUCGGUGUAGCAGUGAAAUGCGUAGAUAUCGAGAGGAACACUCGUGGCGAAGGCGGGUUCCUGGACCUUAACUGACGCUGAGGCACGAAGGCGAGGGGAGCGAAAGGGAUUAGAUACCCGAGUAGUC